ACCGCACCGAACUUCUUCCGCACC
rnacentral:siRNA from 1 species